UACGUAGGGUGCGAGCGUUGUCCGGAAUUAUUGGGCGUAAAGGGCUCGUAGGCGGUUUUGUCGCGUCGGGAGUGAAAACUCAGGGCUUAACCCUGAGCCUGCUUCCGAUACGGGCAGACUAGAGGUAUGCAGGGGAGAACGGAAUUCCUGGUGUAGCGGUGAAAUGCGCAGAUAUCGGGAGGAACACCGGUGGGCGAAAGGCGG
rnacentral:rRNA from 1 species